CAGCACUUGAUACUAACCAAAUUAUCUACAUCCUAGCUUUGUGUCAAAGGCCUGUGAUGUUUUAUGAUAGCUGGGUUUAAGAAGUGCAGUAUUAAAAGUCAUGAGUCUUUUAAGCUCAGUGUUAAAGAUGCGUUCUGAGUUAUAACUCAGUGGCAUAACU